rnacentral:rRNA from 1 species
CAGCGCCGAUGGUACUGCACCCCCGCGGGUGUGGGAGAGUAGGACACCGCCGACC